rnacentral:rRNA from 1 species
GACGAACGUUGGCGGCGUGCUUAAUACAUGCAAGUCCACUGAAGCAGUGGUAGCAAUAUCGCUGUGGAGGUGGCGCACGGGUGAGUAACACGUAGGUAAUCUGCCUUCAGGUCUGGCAUAACUCCGGGAAACCGGGGCUAAUAGCAGAUGAUGCAGCGGCUCGACAUCGAGACAGUUGUUAAAGCUAUGGCGCCUGAAGAUGAGCCUACGUCUGAUUAGCUAGUUGGCGGGGUAACGGCCCACCAAGGCAACGAUCAGUAGCUGGUCUGAGAGGAUGAUCAGCCACACUGGAACUGAGACACGGUCCAGACUCCUACGGGAGGCAGCAGUAAGGAAUAUUGCUCAAUGGGAGAAAUCCUGAAGCAGCAACGCCGCGUGAGGGACGAAGGGCUUUUGCUUGUAAACCUCUGUAGUGAGAGAAAAAAAUCCCAAUCUUUGGGACAUGAUGGUAUCUCAAAAGUAAGCCCCGGCUAACUACGUG